AUUGAACGCUGGCGGCAGGCCUAACACAUGCAAGUCGAGCGAGCGGCGGACGGGUGAGUAAUGUAUGGGGACUGCCCGAUAGAGGGGGAUAACUACUGGAAACGGUGGCUAAUACCGCAUACUAUCGGAUAACCCAGAUGGGAUUAGCUAGUAGGUGGGGUAAAGGCUCACCUAGUCGACGAUCUCUAGAUGGUCUGAGAGGAUGAUCAGCCACCCUGGGACUUAGACACGGCCCAGACUCCUACGGAGGCAGCAGUGGGGAAUAUUGCAUAAUUGGCGCAAGCCUGAUGCAGCCAUGCCGCGUGUAUGAAGAAGUCCUUCGUGUUGUAAAGUACUUUCAGUCGGGAGGCGUUACCCGCAGAAGAAGCACCGGCUAACUCCGUGCCAGCAGCCGCGGUAAUAC
rnacentral:rRNA from 1 species